UCGAGGGGCAACGGGGAUGUUAGCUUGCUAAUAUCUGCCGGCGACCGUCGCACGGGUGAGUAACGCGUAUGCGACCUGCCCGUCACAGGGGGAUAAUCCGGAGAAAUCCGGUCUAAUACCGCAUAAUAUCGUGAAUCUGCAUGGAUUUGCGAUUAAAGGAGCGAUCCGGUGACGGAUAGGCUCGCGUGACAUUAGCUAGACGGCGGGGUAACGGCCCACCGUGGCGACGAUGUCUAGGGGUUCUGAGAGGAAGGUCCCCCACACUGGAACUGAGACACGGUCCAGACUCCUACGGGAGGCAGCAGUGAGGAAUAUUGGUCAAUGGCCGGAAGGCUGAACCAGCCAUGCCGCGUGAAGGUCAGUGCCCUAUGGGCGUUAAACUUCUUUUGUGCGGGGGCAAUAAUGGUCACGUGUGGCCAGACGAGAGUACCGUACGAAUAAGCAUCGGCUAACUCCGUGCCAGCAGCCGCGGUAAUACGGGGGAUGCAAGCGUUAUCCGGAUUUAUUGGGUUUAAAGGGUGCGUAGGCUGUGAGGUAAGUCAGCGGUGAAAUGCCCCCGCUCAACGGGGUGAAGUGCCAUUGAUACUGCCUUGCUGGAAUGCGGAUGCCGUGGGAGGAAUGUGUGGUGUAGCGGUGAAAUGCAUAGAUAUCACACAGAACACCGAUUGCGAAGGCAUCUCACGAAUCCGCGAUUGACGCUGA
rnacentral:rRNA from 1 species